rnacentral:tRNA from 1 species
CGGAAAGUGGCGGUUUUCGGCACUUCCCUCUUGAGUGUCCAAAAAUAAAAAACUAUGAUUUUAGCACAUUAUCAAAACGACUUCUGCCUUGGGAGCAGGGGGUCGCUGGUUCGAAUCCAGUCGUUCCGACCA